AAACGCUUAGUUAAUAUAUAAUAUAAGUUUGUCGUUCUUAAGUAGCCAGAAGCAGUGUUUA
rnacentral:tRNA from 1 species